CGUUGUUAACUGGGACGGCACGGCGGCGCAGGGCAGGGUUGCUGCCUUACAGCGCUUGCAGCGCCGAACA